GGAUGGCGAGUAAAAAGGCAAAUCCAGGUUAAGGAAGAGAAUCUGGACUCAUAAAAUCUAAUGAAGGAAGCACAUAACCGGCGAAACGAAGAAAUUGAAAUAUUUAAAACUUUUUGGAUACUAAAAAUUCAGCAACGGAGGCACCCCUUCUCUAUAGGAUGAGGGUGGGUUGUUGGAGAGUUGUGAGUGUCGUGCUGAAUUUUCACAGUUCUUCGCAGUUCAAGCAUCUUUCCUGCAGAAGAACGAAGGAUGGCGAGUAAAAAGGCAAAUCCAGGUUAAGGAAGAGAAUCUGGACUCAGAAAAUCUAAUGAAGGAAGAACAUAACCGGCGAAACGAAGAAAUUGAAAUAUUUAAAACUUUUUGGAUACUGAAAAUUCAGCAACGGAGGCACUCCUUCUC